UACGUAGGGCGCAAGCGUUAUCCGGAAUUAUUGGGCGUAAAGAGCUCGUAGGCGGUUUGUCGCGUCUGCCGUGAAAGUCCGGGGCUUAACCCCGGAUCUGCGGUGGGUACGGGCAGACUAGAGUGCAGUAGGGGAGACUGGAAUUCCUGGUGUAGCGGUGAAAUGCGCAGAUAUCAGGAGGAACACCGAUGGCGAAGGCAGGUCUCUGGGCAUUAACUGACGCUGAGGAGCGAAAGCGUGGGGAGCGAACAGG
rnacentral:rRNA from 1 species